rnacentral:lncRNA from 1 species
AGAAGCGCGUAGCAGGCUACCAUGACGCCCAGCGGCAGCGCGAAGCCCAGGGCCACCUGCGCCACGGCGCUCGCCCCCUUCACCGUCUGCGUGAGGCCCUCGGGGAAGAUGAGGCGACAGCGUCGUUGGCCUUCCCGCUGCCCAUCCUGGCUGAAGAGCAGCGCAGGCAGCGCCAGGAGCAGUGACAGCAGCCACACGAUGACGGAGACCAAGUGUGCGCGGCCGGGAGUGGAGGGCCGCGGCCCGGCUGGGAGCGCUCGCGCGAUGGCCACGUAGCGGUCGGCGCUGAUACAGGCCAGGAAGAGGAAGCCGGCGUGGAAGGAGGCCGAGUAGAGGCCAGAGAUGGUGCGGCAGGUGGCACUUCCCAGACUCCAGCCCUGAAGAGCCCCUGCUGCCGCGAAGGGCAGAGUCAGGGCCAGCAAGAGGUCGGCCAGGGCCAGCUGGAGCAGCGCCCUCUCCUGGAAGGAUGCCCAUAUGCAGGCUUUGCCUCAGACCUGAGCCCUGGACUCCAACCUCCGUCUGGAGAUCUGGAUUUUACGAAAAAAAAAAAAA